AACAGAAAAUUGGAAAAGCCCCUCUCUGCAAACCCUGGGCCCCCUUGAUGGGAACUAUGGGACUGCAGGGCAAGGGCGUGAACCCCAGUCCCAGGGCCCCAUGUCCCUUGAAGCCACAGCCAGCUUCCCCUCUGCCCACAGCCCUCUCAAGGGUCUAAAGAGCCCUGCCAGCCAUUUCCCUCAGCCAGACCGUAAAGCAGCCAGGCCUGGGUCAUAUCAGACACUGUCACCACCAUCCAAGAGGCUGAGAGUCCCGUGGACCAGACCUCAGAGCCUCACCCUGCUGAGUGAGCUUGGGCUCCCCAGUCUUGGUUCUGCAUCUAUAAAAGGCAUCCUUUUGUUAUAGGAAGUCAAGCAUGUGGCACAUGGUUGGUGCUGGGAAGGAAAAAAAGGAAGUAACAUUUAGUGAACAAGGACUCUGCUGGUCUGAACAAUCUACACAUAUCACUCUUCACCCUCGCCACAUAACGCUGCACGUGUGCAGUCAACAAACAUUUGAUGAGGAAACUGAGGCUCAGAGAGGUGAAAUCACUGGCCCAAGAUCACACGGCCAGCGAAUGGUCCAGGUGGAAUUUGAACCCACAUCCGUGUGACUCCCAGGGUCUUUCCAUUUCCGACUGCCCCUGGUUCUGGUGCGAGUCAGGAGGCCAGACCAGGCGGGGAGAGAAGGCCCUUCUUAGAGCUGCUCAUUACAGCCUCCUGCCUCUGCCUGACACCACAUCUCCUCCUCACUCAAGCCCUCUUCCUCGCCCAAGCCAUCCUCCAACUACCCGGGCCCUGGGUGAGCUCCUAACGGAAAUCAGCUGGACAGGACUUCCCUGGUGGCACAGUGGUUAAGAAUCCGCCUGCCAAUGCAGGGGACACGGGUUCGAUCCCUGGUCCAGGAAGAUCCCACAUGCCACGGAGCAACUAAGCCUGUGCGCCACAACUACUGAAGCCCGCUCGCCUAGAGCCCGUGCCAUCGCAAUGAGAAGCACGCACUCUGCAACGAAGAGUAGCCCCUGCUCGCCGCAACUAGAGAAAGCCCGUGUGCAGCAGUGACGACCCAACACAGCCAAAAAAUAAAUAAAUAAUUAAAAAAAAAAAUCAGCUGGACAUAUUUGUAUGGGUCUAUUUCUGAGUCCUCUCUUUUAUUCUAUUGAUUGUAGUCUAUCCCUCUGCCAAUACUACACUUUCUUGAUUACUGUAGUUGUGUAGGAAACUUUAAUAUUGGGUAGAAUGAUUCCUCCCACUUUGUAGAAAAUUAUAUAUC